rnacentral:rRNA from 1 species
UACGUAGGGGGCUAGCGUUGUCCGGAAUCAUUGGGCGUAAAGCGCGUGUAGGCGGCUGGUCAAGCGUGGUGUGAGAUCUCCGGGCUCAACCCGGAAACUGCAUUGCGAACUGACCUAGCUGGAGUGCAGGAGAGGGCAGCGGAAUUCCCGGUGUAGCGGUGAAAUGCGUAGAUAUCGGGAAGAACACCAGUGGCGAAGGCGGCUGCCUGGCCUGUAACUGACGCUGAGACGCGAAAGCGUGGGGAGCGAACCGG